rnacentral:ncRNA from 2 species
CGAUAGCAAAUUUAGUAUGCUUCACAAUGAAUAAGACUACUAUCAUUAUCGAUUAAAAGGGAAUCUGGUUAAAAUCCAGAACUGUUCCCGCAACUGUAAGCUUAGUACCCAAUUUAAUUGGGUAUCUCUUUAAAAGAGAUUCGUGUUACACUUUAAUGUCACUGAGGUAAGAGAUUGCCAAAGCAAAUAUAAUUUGCUUCGCUAUGAUAACUUUGGGAAGACCAACACGGAGACGCAAGUCAGGAGACCUGCCAUUUUCAUAACAAAAAA